rnacentral:lncRNA from 1 species
AACCCUAGACUCGAUCUACUAAAGAAAAACUUAUUAGAAACAAUAGAUCCUCACUUCCUUCAACCUCCGGCGAGAUGCUGGAGGGGAAGGGAGGGGGACCAGCAGCGGCAGCAGCGGCGCUAGGGCAAAAAAACUCUUAACCCCUUUUUCAGUGCUACAUGAAUAGUUAGUGGUAGUGCUAGGUAAUUUUACCAACUCUCCGAGAAGAUAUAGAACAAGUAUUUUCAAAAAAAAUCCCUUGAGUAGUUUCAUGAUAUUCAUGGAUUUGGUCCCUAGAUCUAGCUUUUUAAGAUCUACAUUUCAUGGAACUGACGUUUGGGUAGUAAUUCAUGGAUUGGAGCUGUUUUUUUCAGAUUUAGAACAAGUGGAACUCUUCCAAACAUGGCCUAAAAAUCCUUUCAGUCACCUUUAGGCUUCGUUUGGCUGAAGGGGAAAGUAAUACAAGCGAGAAAUCCCCCACGCAGGGAUUGGGUUGAUCCCCUCCCACCACCCAAUCCCCUCACACCAACGUGAUCCAAUCCCUUGAUUCCCUGGCAUCAUUUGGAUUGUGCGCUAAUUAGCUCAGUUUGGCGUUUUAUUGUGUUCGUGUACUACUAAUGCUCAUCAAAGCUAAUUCAACGUUGACUUUACUGAUUAUUUAACCAUAAUUCAAAAUGGUAGUGUUCUAGAAUUCAGAACCGAACUAUGGGAGAGCACAAAAAUCAGAAAAACGAGCUCUAAAAUUCAAGAAAAUACUAGCAAAAUCCAUGUCUAAAAUUCAAAAAUAACAGAAAAUGAGCAAGAGAAGCCAUUUUUCAUCAGUAAAAAAUAAAAAAUAAAUGUAUUGGAAGGUGCAGCAACGAUUGAAACAUUAUAAAAAAAAUAUGUCGAAUGUAAUCACAUCACAUGGUCAUAUACCAGAACAUUCUUCACCAAGUUUUGAAGUAGCUCACGGCUAAGUAAGGAAGACGUGACCAUCAGCAUAUUGAACUAGGGCUUGCACAUGCAUACACAAAUUUAGGAAACAAGACAUUUGUUUUCAAGAUUCUUAAAUAAAUAAAAUAUUGCUAACAUCCCAGCGGUGCCGAAAGAAGUUGAACUGAAACCACUUAGACUUGCACUUGAAACGAAAGGUGCACUUUCACUUCUAUUCCUGCAAGCAAAGUAUUCAUAAAUUUGUGUAUGCAUGUGCAAGUCACUUGUCAACAAGAUUACAGUCGGAAAAUUAUAGGCAUGCAACGCAUAGAGGUAGUACAUCAGUGUAUAUAUAAUUUUUUAUAAGAACAGUUAUAGACUGCUUUACAAUCCAACCCAAUCUUAUUUCAGAACAAUCCAUUUGUUAAUAGAACUUCAUAAUCCAACCUAAUCUCAGAUCAGAACUCUAAAAAUGCACAACAAAGAAACUUAGCAAGACAACAUAGAGUGGACAGGGAGACCAAGCCAGACCUGAUAAAGAAAGUACCCUAGUUGAGAUGGUGUUGAGAUGUUGGGAGUAGAUAGCACCGCAGAUCGUGAGCUGAGGAAAUAGCAGCGCAGAUCCUGGAAACGGUGUCAUACGUUCAAACAUCCAUCCAGUGUCGUACUAGCAGGUUCGAGCAAAUCGAGAGGGGGAAGAGAAUUGAGAGGAAGAGAUCCGCACCUCAGGUCCUGGAGUUGCCACCGUCUUCCUCCAAGCUGGCAGUAACAGAUGCCGCCGCCGGGCACCUCCGUGGUGUACUGAAACCCUAACAAGGGGAAUGAACUGGCUGAGGAGAAGGGGAGGGAGGAAGGGAUGAGGCUGAGGAGGACUGGAGAAGGCGGAGAACAUACCCACGAGCGGUGGCGGUGCCAUUGACGGCAGACCUGGCGGUGAGUCGAGAGCGGUGGUGGAGUCGCAUGCAGAGGGAGCGAGGCUCAUGACUCGCGAACACGAGAAGGGAGCGCAGUCCCAGCCUCGGAUGAGGAUAAUUAUUUCUCCCUUGGAUUGAAG